UCUCAUUUCAUUGAAUUAGGUAUUGAAACCCUAGCCGCCUGAUCACACUCCUCUCUCUCUUCGUCAUCUCUAGACGAAAAUGGCAAAAGUGCAAAAGCCAUUUGCUUUUACAGACUAUGCGUGGUUGUUUGGGGAAAGGGAAUUAACGCCCCGUCCUUCCUCCACCGUGUUUCAACCGUUGAAGAGUGUUUCGAGGGGCUUGGAAGAGAUUCUCAAUUCCAUUCUCGACAAGGGCUGCACACGAAAAAGGUUCAGGUAGUCGGACAGACGAUCCAGCUCAGUAGGCCUUCCACUCAGCCGCGGUCAGUGCACUCCACUUGGUCCGGAGCUGCAGUGCCUUCUUGGUAUGCUAUUUUGACAUGUAUAUACGGAUAUGACGGGUUAUGUCCUGUCCUUCCGAUAGCUCAUGUUUCCUAGAGGUUUGUGGACAGUUGUACGUUGUUGGGGAUGUUAUGUAGCCUUGUCGGCUCUCAUUUUGUUGUGCAGCAUUCAUGGCAGCCUCGUCGACUUGCUCAGUUGUGUAGUUAUAUUUGGGUGUUUGCCCAGUUUGGAAAAGAUGAUCUGUCUGUGUGUGUGUGUGUCUGUGUGUGUGUGUGUAUAUAUAUCCAGAUUACAACCUCGUCGGCUUGUUGGUAAUAUUUGUGUGCAGGUAGGCCUUAUUGGUUUAAGUCGGGGGUUACUCCCAGAGUUGCAGAUUUAGAGUGGUUCGCUCGGGCCUAGGCAGGCAUCGAGUGCCGGUCACGCGACUCCGGAUUUGGGGUGUGACAAACUUGGUAUCAGAGCAGUUCUGUCCUAGGGUUGUCUACAGACUGUGUCCAGUAGAGUCUUGUUUAUGGUUGUGAAGCGCGCCACACUUAUAAACAAGCGGCUGCAGGGCAUUUAGGAACCAUUGACCUUCCCUUUCUAUCUUAGAUCGUGCGAUAUAGCUAGCAUCUAGGAAAGAUCGCUUCUGAUACUCUUUUCCUGUAGGUGAGAAAAGAUUGGUAGAGAUGAAGAGAUCGGCCUCAGACGGUGGGGGUGCCAAGAAGACCCCUAGAGUGGAUUCAGGACCACAGAUUCAGGGACCGAGCAGGGGGGGCCUUAGCUAUUCCCUUGAGACAGAUCCCUCUGAGGACCCUGCGACAAUUCCCCCAAAGUUUUUGACUUCUACGGAGGAGGAUCCAUCGGAGGACAGCUAUGACACGGACCCGUCUGAGAGUUCAUAUGGGACUCCACAGGGGGAGAUUUUCGAGACUGUACUAGAGUUGACUCCCCCAGCUGCUCCUAUAGCAGAGCACUAUGUCAGGCCAGCUACGCCUGAGAGUGUUACUGAUUAUUCUAGCCUAUUAUCUUGGUCGUCAGUAAACCAGGAGCUGCCUGAAUAUCCGUAUCCCUCGGACUCAAAUGAGAGAGAUGAGGAGGGCCAGACUAGCAGAUGGCGGGAGGACAAUGAAGAGGACACUUCACUUUACAGCCCUCUAGACCAAGAGCAGGACAGGCCGGCUACAGGCAUAUGGGUCUUUUAUUGAAAUUUCUUAUGUGUGUACAAUUAUUGCAGGAUAUCAUUAAUAGGUGACAAAUGGGAGUUUUAGAGGAAUCGAUAACCAAAAUACUUAUCGAUAACUGCAACUAAGAUGUUUUGGCCUUAUUAGGAAUCUUAAAUUUAGGAAUGGAAGACAGUCGUGUGUUGAUCGAUGGUUAUUAUUAAGAGUUUUGAAGGCUAAACCAGCAUUUGCUCGACCAGGAAAGUAAGGGAUCUUUCCAAUCCGGAGGGAGAUGCAUUAUAGGAAUUUUAUUGGGAUCCGUUAGAAGUUUAAUUUGUUCUAGGUCAUGCGAUAAAGGUCACGCAGCAGGGUGGAUGUGAUCGUACCAGCAUUAACGCACCGGAUCUCAUGAGGACUCCAAAGUUAAGCGUACUGGGGUGAGAGUAAUACUAGGAUGGGUGACCCCCUGGGAAGUGUACUAAGAGUCUUACCAAUUCGGACAUAAGAGAAGGAUGAGGGACUAGAAUAACUUGAGGGAAAUCAGAAACGUGUGAAACUCACGGGUUGAAACCCCAAAUGAUUGUGAGAGAUAAGGCGGACCGGCUUGGCAAAGAGAGAGAAGACGUAUUAUAGCUACAGAACUAGAACGAGUUUAAAAUAGUAUUGCGAAUAUUUUGUAGGUUUUUUUUUUUAAAUUAAGGUCAGUGAGCAGGGCCCACUGACUAUUUUAUUGAUUUAGUAGGAAAAGACAAAUAGUUCAAAAGUAAAACAAAACCAAAAAAACAAAAAACUACCUAAAAGUUCUAGAAAGGAAAUGAAAAGGAAAGCAUAGUUCCUAAUAAUGGCGAUGUGGAUCAUUCUCUAUGCAAUCUUCUCCUCCCACAUCAAUCUUGACUUUGUUCCAUCUCCAAAUGUCUCAUAGGUAAGUAUUCUUUGGUAUUUUUUGUUCCCCGCUUUGGAUUCCUUCAUUUGUGCAUUCACCUAAUCUCGUUCAGCAGAUCUGAGCUUUUGGUGUUGUUCCAGUUGGGUUUCAUCCUUCUCUUUCAGAAAUCUGUGGUGGUUGUGUUGAAUUUGUUGCUUUCCCCGAGGUAUGAUUAUGCUGUUGCUUGUGUAUUUUUGUGAUUUGCUCUUUCCUGUUGAUGUUGUUUAUACUUGAUUUGCUACUGUUCCGCUGGUUCCCAUGUUUUUUGUUCGCAAUUUUGUCCCAUCUCAGCUGAUAUUUGAUUUGUAUGCUUGAAUCUUGUGCUUUUGUUCAAUGUACCUUUUUUGCCCUUUUUCAAUUAGGAGAGGUAUAUACGAUAUUCUAUGUGUGGUCAAUCAGUUUGCGUGCCCCGAUAAUCGACGUUGCGAUGUGUUAAAGUUGCUAAUUGAACAGGGUAUUGAAGUUUAAGUGGUAAGUGUUACAGGGCGAGGUGACAUUAGUCUCUCUAAAAUUAAAGUUGGAUAAUCCUGAUGUAAUCACAUCAGGGAAAAGGGAGAAAGUGAGUAUACAAGGGUAAGAAGAUUAGGAUGCCCUGA